ACUUAAAUAGCUUAUUAUUAUAGAGUUUAAUAUUGAAGAUAUUAAGGAGAUUAUUAGAAUCUUUAAGUA
rnacentral:tRNA from 1 species